UACGUAGGCAGCAAGCGUUGUUCGGAGUUACUGGGCGUAAAGGGUGCGUAGGCGGCGAGGUAAGUCUGGUGUGAAAUCCUGGGGCUCAACCCCAGAAUUGCACUGGAUACUGCUUUGCUAGAGGACUGGAGAGGAGAUUGGAAUUCACGGUGUAGCAGUGAAAUGCGCAGAUAUCAGGAGGAACACCAAGUUGCGAAGGCAGCUCGCUGGGGCGUUACUGACGCUGAGACGCGAAAGCGUGGGGAGCAAACAGG
rnacentral:rRNA from 1 species